GAUGAACGCUGGCGGCGUGCUUAACACAUGCAAGUCGAACGGGAAUUAUUUUAUUGCACCUUCGGUCGAUUUAAUUUAAUUCUAGUGGCGGACGGGUGAGUAACGCGUGGGUAACCUGCCUUAUACAGGGGGAUAACAGUCAGAAAUGGCUGCUAAUACCGCAUAAGCGCACAGAGCUGCAUGGCUCAGUGUGAAAAACUCCGGUGGUAUAAGAUGGACCCGCGUUGGAUUAGCUGGUUGGUGGGGUAACGGCCCACCAAGGCGACGAUCCAUAGCCGGCCUGAGAGGGUGAACGGCCACAUUGGGACUGAGACACGGCCCAGACUCCUACGGGAGGCAGCAGUGGGGAAUAUUGCACAAUGGGGGAAACCCUGAUGCAGCGACGCCGCGUGAAGGAAGAAGUAUCUCGGUAUGUAAACUUCUAUCAGCAGGGAAGAUAGUGACGGUACCUGACUAAGAAGCCCCGGCUAACUACGU
rnacentral:rRNA from 1 species